rnacentral:rRNA from 1 species
UACGUAGGGGGCAAGCGUUGUCCGGAUUUAUUGGGCGUAAAGCGCACGCAGGCGGUCUGUUAAGUUUGGAGUGACAGUUGGUGGCUUAACUGCCAAAGUGCUUCGAAAACUGAUCGACUUGAGGGCUUCAGAGGGACACGGAAUUCCGGGUGGAGUGGUGAAAUGCGUAGAGAUCCGGAGGAACACCGAAGGCGAAGGCAGUGUCCUGGGGAGUACCUGACGCUCAGGUGCGAAAGCCAGGGGAGCGAACGGG